rnacentral:rRNA from 1 species
UCAGAGUGAACGCUGGCGGCGUGCCUAAUACAUGCAAGUCGAACGAUGAAGCUUCUAGCUUGCUAGAAGUGGAUUAGUGGCGCACGGGUGAGUAACGCAUAGGUAACAUGCCCUUUAGUCUGGGAUAGCCACUGGAAACGGUGAUUAAUACUGGAUACUCCCUACGGGGGAAAGUUUUUCGCUAAAGGAUUGGCCUAUGUCCUAUCAGCUUGUUGGUGAGGUAAUGGCUCACCAAGGCUAUGACGGGUAUCCGGCCUGAGAGGGUGAUCGGACACACUGGAACUGAGACACGGUCCAGACUCCUACGGGAGGCAGCAGUAGGGAAUAUUGCUCAAUGGGGGAAACCCUGAAGCAGCAACGCCGCGUGGAGGAUGAAGGUUUUAGGAUUGUAAACUCCUUUUGUUAGAGAAGAUUAUGACGGUAUCUAACGAAUAAGCACCGGCUAACUCCGUGCCAGCAGCCGCGGUAAUACGGAGGGUGCAAGCGUUACUCGGAAUCACUGGGCGUAAAGAGUGCGUAGGCGGGAAAGCAAGUCAGAUGUGAAAUCCUGUAGCUUAACUACAGAACUGCAUUUGAAACUGCUUUUCUAGAGUGUGGGAGAGGUAGGUGGAAUUCUUGGUGUAGGGGUAAAAUCCGUAGAGAUCAAGAGGAAUACUCAUUGCGAAGGCGACCUGCUGGAACAUUACUGACGCUGAUGCACGAAAGCGUGGGGAGCAAACAGGAUUAGAUACCCUGGUAGUCCACGCCCUAAACGAUGAAUGCUAGUUGUUGCCCUGCUUGUCAGGGCAGUAAUGCAGCUAACGCAUUAAGCAUUCCGCCUGGGGAGUACGGUCGCAAGAUUAAAACUCAAAGGAAUAGACGGGGACCCGCACAAGCGGUGGAGCAUGUGGUUUAAUUCGAAGAUACGCGAAGAACCUUACCUAGGCUUGACAUUGAUAGAAUCCGCUAGAGAUAGUGGAGUGCUGGCUUGCCAGAGCUUGAAAACAGGUGCUGCACGGCUGUCGUCAGCUCGUGUCGUGAGAUGUUGGGUUAAGUCCCGCAACGAGCGCAACCCUCGUCCUUAGUUGCUAGCAGUUUAAGCUGAGCACUCUAGGGAGACUGCCUUCGUAAGGAGGAGGAAGGUGAGGACGACGUCAAGUCAUCAUGGCCCUUACGCCUAGGGCUACACACGUGCUACAAUGGGGCGCACAAAGAGGAGCAAUACCGCGAGGUGGAGCAAAUCUCAAAAACGUCUCUCAGUUCGGAUUGUAGUCUGCAACUCGACUACAUGAAGCUGGAAUCGCUAGUAAUCGUGAAUCAGCCAUGUCACGGUGAAUACGUUCCCGGGUCUUGUACUCACCGCCCGUCACACCAUGGGAGUUGUAUUCGCCUUAAGUCGGGAUACUAAAUUGGUUACCGCCCACGGCGGAUGCAGCGACUGGGGUG